rnacentral:rRNA from 1 species
UAAUACAGAGGGUGCAAGCGUUAAUNGGAAUUACUGGGCGUAAAGCGAGCGUAGGUGGCUUGAUAAGUCAGAUGUGAAAUCCCCGGGCUUAACCUGGGAACUGCAUCUGAUACUGUUAAGCUAGAGUAGGUGAGAGGGAAGUAGAAUUCCAGGUGUAGCGGUGAAAUGCGUAGAGAUCUGGAGGAAUACCGAUGGCGAAGGCAGCUUCCUGGCAUCAUACUGACACUGAGGCUCGAAAGCGUGGGUAGCAAACAGGAUUAGAUACCCUGGUAGUCCACGCCGUAAACGAUGUCUACUAGUCGUUGGGGAACNUGAUUCNUUAGUGACGCAGNUAACGCAAUAAGUAGACCGCNUGGGGAGUACGGCCGCAAGGUUAAAACUCAAAUGAAUUGNCGGGGGCCCGCACNAGCGGUGGAGCAUGUGGUUUANUUNGAUGCAACGNGAAGAACCUUACCUGGUCUUGACAUAUCUAGAAUCCUGCAGAGAUGCGGGAGUGCCUUCGGGAAUUAGAAUACAGGUGCUGCAUGGCUGUCGUCAGCUNGUGUNGUGAGAUGUUGGGUUAAGUCCCGCAACGAGCGCAACCCUUGUCCUUAGUUACCAGCGGGUUAAGCCGGGAACUCUAAGGAUACUGCCAGUGACAAACUGGAGGAAGGCGGGGACGACGUCAAGUCAUCAUGGCCCUUACGACCAGGGNUACACACGUGCUACAAUGGUAGGUACAGAGGGCAGCUACACAGCGAUGUGAUGCGAAUCUCAAAAAGCCUAUCGUAGUCCAGAUUGGAGUNUGCAACUCGACUCCAUGAAGUAGGAAUCGCUAGUAAUCGCGGAUCAGAAUGCCGCGGUGAAUACGUUCCCGGGCCUUGUACACACCGCCCGUCACACCAUGGGAGUUGAUUGCACCAGAAGUGGUUAGCCGAACCUUUUAGGACGGCG